ensembl:lncRNA
GCAUAUUCAAUCAGAAAUGAGUAUCAGGACAGCAGAAGUGGUAGAUGAUGAACUGCAGUUUGUAGGAAGAUCAUGGAAACUCAGUGCUGAGUGAAAUGUACUGGACAUGACUCGCAGCCCAGAGAGCUGACUGUGUGCUGGGCUGCAUCAGAGGAGUGGCCAGCAGGGCGAGGGAGGUGAGGCCUCACCUGGGGAACUGUGUCCAGAUGUGGAGUCCUCAGUACAGGAGUGAUGCAGACCUGUUGGAAUACAUUCAGAGGAGGGCCACAAAAAUGAUCCAAGGGAUGGAACAUCUCUCCUAUGAGGGCAGGCUGAGAGAGCUGUGGCUGUUCAUUAUGGAGAAGAGAAGGCUCCAGGGAGACCUGAGAGUGGCUUGUCAGUGUCUAAGGGGAGGCUAUAAGAAAGGAAGGCUGAAGCACAAAUAUUGGAGCUACAUUUGUUUUUUUCUGUGUACUAUUUAUGUGACAAAACUUCCUUCAACGAUUACUUCAGACAUCACUGUCUUCAUACGCAUAGAGUAAGAUGGAAAAUGUAUUGUUUUCAUGUUGGGAUGCAAGAAGCAUUUUGUCAUCUCAGUCAUUUGUUAGAACCAGGCAACCUCAUAAGAAACAGUAAUCAUAUCUCACUCCUCAUCUCCUGAAAUGCCUCUGGUGCAAAAGACUUGCUUGUUAUCAGGCAGUGUGUGCUACGUUCUCCCAACAUACUGUGUCCUAUGGUUCCAGUGCAUUCAAACAAACCUUGAGCUCCUUUUUCUGGGUGUAGAUCUGAAACAGUUCAUCAGUAAAGAAGUAUGUCAUGAAAGAAGUCCUACCCGGUAUGUUUUCCUUGUGAUUCUCAUUGCUGAAAUUCAGAAAGUAUUUUUUUUUUUUAAGUGCUGUUUCAAUUGAAAGAUUCUUUUACUUUAAGCAGCUAUUCUUGUAUGGAACUCUCAUUUGGUGGGUGACCUACGUGUGCUUUUUCAUGUUGUCAUACCACAUUUCUGCAAGUUAUUCUCAGCAGCCACUUGAACAAUCGGACUGCUGAGGUCAUAGGAUAUAGCAUUAAUAUGUCUGUGCAGACAGCGGCUGUUAUCUUCUUGCCCAGAAAUCCCAGUAAUUGGAAAAGGAGGUGGAAAGGUUUACCUUUAAUCUGUGAUUAAUUGGAAUUUAGGUAGACAUUUGCUUUAAAAUCUUACAGAGGUGGUGAUAUGUCAAGGUAUUUAUAAACUGCACUGGAAAUACUUCACUAAUUAGGAUAAGUUGGCAGAAGUUACUACUGCUGUGUUUAACUCUGCUUAUUUCAAAUCUACUGCAGUUGUAAUCUCAAGGUCCUUUUUACCUUCAUUCCUCUGACACAAUUUGCAGCUUUAUCAUCUCCUGACACUGCAGAAACAGAAGGAUAUGAAUGCAUAAUGUUCCCAAAACAGCUGGGAAUCCCUUUUUUUGUGUGUGUGUGUUAAAAUGUGUUAUUCUGCCCUGGGUUCUUCCUAGAAUGCUGUUUUGCCCUUUCAGGAAGAUGUGGAAAGAGAUGCGGUGCCCACAGUAUGCAGGGGGAAGAGGUGGUUAGCUGGUAGGAAUCGCAGAGCUUGGUGCUGGAAGUGGGCUUCUCCCCUGGAGUAUUCAUUUUGGAGUCUGCAUGGCAGUAUAAGGAGACCCCCAGGCAGUCUGAGCUGAUACAGUGAUUUUUGGUGGUUGUGCACCACUUCUGUGAGCUGGCAAUAAGGCCCAUGUAGAUCCCACAUACUUUCUUUGCUAGAGAUAUGAAUGCUCCAGAAAGGAGUUCUACAGGACAAAUCCCUCAUGGAGUUGGGGAGAGCUGUCUGUAAGGCUUGAAGCGAGCUGACAGUUGCAAAAAUGAUUGAUUUAAUUAGCAUGAGCUAAAAAAUAAACAAUAGAAGGGAUUUUGCCAUUCUUUAAAUAAGUAUCUCCUGCUGGGCUCAAGGGUUUUGCUGCUUUUUUUUUCUUCCGUAGUGCUGCCUUGCUUUUUUUUCUGUUACUGAUGGUUAUUUGCUUUUCC